AACGAACGCUGGCGGCGUGCCUAACACAUGCAAGUCGAGCGCGAAAAGGGCAACCUGAGUAGAGCGGCGCACGGGUGCGUAACACGUGGGUAAUCUGCCUCAAAGUUUGGGAUAACCUUCCGAAAGGUUGGCUAAUACCGGAUAAGCUCACGAGGUCUUCGGACUUUGUGGGAAAAGGUGGCCUCUAUUUAUAAGCCAUCACUUUGAGAUGAGCCCGCGGCCCAUCAGCUAGNGGCGGGGUAACGGCCCACCAAGGCUACGACGGGUAGCUGGUCUGAGAGGACGAUCAGCCACACUGGAACUGAGACACGGUCCAGACUCCUACGGGAGGCAGCAGUGGGGAAUUUUGCACAAUGGGCGAAAGCCUGAUGCAGCAACGCCGCGUGUGUGAUGAAGGUC
rnacentral:rRNA from 1 species